AAAAUAUUGUUAAUCAAAUUAUCGAACGAUUCACAAUUGAUUGGAUUGGAUUGGAGGAGCGCUCAGCGGCAGGGGAGCGAUAUAAUUGACCGCCGAAUCAUCAUCGCCACUGCAACUUUGCAUCUCGACGGCUGAGCYUUUUUUUGAAUAGAAUAUUGGAAGCUCCCUAUAAAUUUAGACGAAAGGAGCUUUGAUAAUUGCUUCUUCGGCCUUACGGAAGAGGAAUGGGGAAUAGGAGGGAGAGAGCGAGAUAAUUUAGAGGGCGAAAGCCAAAUCUGUUCCGAUUUCUCUGUUUGGUUCCUAGAGAGAUUUCAGGAAUCUUUUGAUUAGCAGAUUUCUCCUGAUUACGGUGAAAUAAUCGGUGCUUGGCAGACUCCUCGGUUCGUUUUCUCUUGCGUCCAUUCUGUGAGAAACGGAGUGGCCUUUUGAUCAGUCGACGUCUCGAUUCCCCAUUUUGUUCUGAAUCGCACUCUAGCAAAUAACUGGACGAUCUUCGYUUUGUUAUCCGAUUGAAAGAGGAACGAGUAUUCAAUCUCGAUUAUUGGACUCAAAUCAUUUUUUUUGUUCUUUUUUGUUGUGGUUCGUGUUUUUUUGGAGCAAACAACUGAUCUAUUCUGGAGUAAGAUUCUGACUGUCUGGGUCUGAAAGUGACGAAUAUUUACACUUUCCGAGCUUUGGCUAAUAGUUUAGGCAAACUUUGUUUGGAUGCUUUCUGGGUUCAGUAUGUUAUGMGAAACUUCGUUUUUGUUUUCCUCUAGAAAUCGACCGGUUUCCAUUCUUAGCGAUUUCUUCGGGACGAGACAAUCGGGGAGCACAUCCUUGGUUGACUGAAAUUGGGUUUGGUAAUUGGAGAUUUUUGGGGAACUUUCUUCUCUCCGUGACCAAUCAGCUUCGGAGUUCUUAAAGUUCGGGCUUUUUGUUGAUCUUUUAAGAAUUUGAUUAGAUUUUUCCUAGUUUUUUAACAUGACAUUUUUCAUUUUCCAUAUGGAGGUUACAGCAUCAAGCAGGUUCCAUCUGCCACUCCUUUCCAUUUUGGGAUUCUACCUCUAAAUUCUUUCGGAAGAACUCUUAGCUAUCUCCCUAAUUUCCCCCAGAAGUCUUUCACUUGUCCGGAGUAGAACCCAUGGCCGUGUCUUUCAGUCGUAUUUCAUGGUGGUUUCGGGGUGGGAAGGAAAAAGAGGUUGUUGCAAACCAGUUCUCUCCAAAAAAUUCUUGCUCUGAGAUUGGUGCUGGUUUGAAAGAACCGGAGAGUCUCAAGUUCAAGAGGGUCGAUUUGCCCUCAUCAUCAAAGAAGGUGAAGAAGCAGAAAUGGCAAAGUAGGAAAGAAACAAGGAUUGACUGGGAAUACGAUUUUGUGAUGGUACCAUCCGUUGGUGAUGGCAUACAAAUGCCCGACUCUGCUGAUGAGGCCGAUUGGUCCAUUGGUUGGUUUGAGCCUCACGGUCCUAACUUUCAAAGUGAAGAUAGUUUUGCCGUUCUGGUCCCUUCCUAUAGCCAUCGUUGCAAGGAGCUGGUGGAGAGUUCAAACGUGGAGCUUUUGGCUGCCAUCAAAAAUUCACCUGGAAUAAGCUUUUAAAGUUGCAGAAAAAUGACUGGCGUUACAAUUCCUUGGAACUAUAGUCAAGAGUCCUCAGAUGUAAUAGCUUGAUGACCAAGAGCAAUAACUAUAUGGAACAGUGGCUUUCUUCCCUGCAAAACUCAGAAUCCUGAAGCGCGCUGCUGCUUCUUUCUGGUUUCGAGCGRUGAAAGGUGUGAAAAAAUACAGUCCAGGUGCUUCAUUUCUGCAAAGAUUAUCAUCAUCUUGACCAGCAGUUGAUAAGAUAGAAUAACAAACCCAGUUUUGUGCAUAUCAUGUUAAAGAUCUUUCUUUACAUACUUCUAUUUUGCAGAUAAUUUGAUUGAAACUCUAGGAACCAUGGGAAAAGAGAUUUUCUUUCUUUCUUUUUUUUCGUUUUUUUUUCUGUGUAUAUGUGGUAAGAUACAGCAUCCAUAGUCUAACUACUACUGUUUCAAUUCUCCAAUUUCCUUCAAAUAUAUCUUAAUGCAACAUUGCCCUUGUGUAAA